rnacentral:rRNA from 1 species
UGGUGGAGUGAUUUGUCUGGUUAAUUCCGAUAACGAACGAGACCUCGACCUGCUAACUAGUAGGCGUCGGUGCUUCGGUGCCGGCCGUCGACUUCUUAGAGGGACUAUUUGGGACUACCGGAUGGAAGUUUGAGGCAAUAACA